rnacentral:lncRNA from 1 species
UGGUUCUUUUAUUUUGGUUUAAGUUGUUAUAUAAUACUUGUUUUGGUUGGAUUAGUGGUGAUACAAGUUGUUAUGAUGAUUUAAAGGUGAUUUAUGUGAGUUAGGGUUUGAGGUAUUUGCUGCCUAUCCUUGCUAUAUGGAUGAUAUAUGUUGUAUUUAAGCUUAUAUAAGUGGUUGUGGUGAUGAUUGGAGCAAGAAAUCAAGAAAGGUUGCAUUGAAUCCCAAAAUUCCAGGUUUCUGGAAAAUUUCAGCUCUAUUCUGUCCGGUUUUAUUGCACCAUGUUAGAGGCCGAAUUAGGCUUGGUAUAAAACAUAAAAGUUGUAGAGAAUGGUAUUUUAUAGGUUCCUACAAAAUUUCAGCUCAAUCGGAGCAACGUAGCCUGUGAAAAGACCAAAAUACCCUCACUAUUUUAGGAUGUUUCCAGUGUUCCGUUUUAGUUAGUUCAUCCAGUUUAUCAUGUUUAUUCACUAGGAUUCGUGCUGAUUUAGCCAUUUUCCAAAACAUGAAAGUUUUAGUACUCUGUCUUAGUUUUUCAACACCUACAAGAACACCUUAAACGAACCUUGGUAGCCUGAGAUAUGACCAUUCUAGUGCAGUACGGUUAAUUAGUCGUAUAGUUGGAAGUUGGCUCUGUA